GGCAAUGAUGAGCGAAGUAUAGCCUGACUUGGUAUAGCCGGAACCACGGUUUGGGCUCUUGACCAAGAGAUGAUCCCAUUAAAUCUUCUCUCUGAGCCA